rnacentral:lncRNA from 1 species
UGGAUUUGUGCCUCCACCUUAAAUAUUCUCAGAAUGUAAUAAAUCUCUCUGCUGCUGAGCCUCUCUGGAGUGUCAGUGAGGUGGGCAGCUGGCUCUUCUUGGGUUUGUUUUACCUCCUGAAUUUCCCCAGGAAAGCUGUGUGUGUGUGUGUGUGUGUGUGUGUGUAGGAAAGCUGAGAACUCAGCCAAGACAAUGGUCCAGGGGGGCCUUGUGUUGGGGAGAGGGUUCUUUGUCACUGCCUCCCCAGUACUGGGAGGCAGAAUGGGAGGCUGGGGGUGUUUAUGAGCCUCUUCCCUUUUUCUUUUCAAUUACAAUGAUACCUCAGGUAAUUAACUGCUAAUAACCUUGUUAAUUUAGAAUGGAUCCUCUCCCUUCUGGCCAUCUCAGGGAAGACAGAAGCCACAAGGGUCAGCAGGCAUGGAAGAAGAGAGAGGAUAGGGGAGUUUCCAUUGCACUAAUCCAUCACUGUAGAGCAGGCAAGAUUAUGUCCCCC